CAGUACUCUGGCCUAUCAAAAGUACUCUGGCCUAUCAACAGUACUCUGGCCUAUCAACAGUACUCUGGCCUAUCAACAGUACUCUGGCCUAACAACAGUACUCUGGCCUAACAACAGUACUCUGGCCUAACAACAGUACUCUGGCCUAUCAACAGUACUCUGGCCUAUCAACAGUACUCUGGCCUAACAACAGUACACUGGCCUAACAGCGGCGCCCUCCGGCAGGUCCACCUUCACCACAAAUAAAGAAACGGGAAAUGUAUCGUUUUAUUAUGUUUUAUUUAUAUAUAUAGAAAAUGCAAUGUUGGAGGAGUUUUGCUUGUUCUGAACUCCGCAAGUGUUGAGUAUAUGUCAUUAGCCAGGUGAUGCCCUCAGCCAGGUGACGCCAUCAGCCAGGUGACGCCAUCAGGCAGGUGACGUCAUCAGUCAGGUGACGCCAUCAGCCAGGUGACGCCAUCAGCCAGGUGACGUCAUCAGCCAGGUGACGCCAUCAGCCAGGUGAAGUGAAGUUAGCCCCUGUACCAUUGUCAAAAGAAUGGCCCGGAUAGCCC